rnacentral:misc_RNA from 1 species
CAAAAUUGUGAACAAUGUCAAAGAAUAGGAAGUUUAACCCGUAGGAAUGAAAUGAUUCAUAAUCCAAUACUUGUUUGUGAGAUUUUUGAUGUGUGGGGUAUUGAUUUUAUGGAUCCAUUUCCUUCUUCUUUUGGCUUCUUUUAUAUAUUACUUGCUGUUGAUUAUGUUUCGAAAUGGGUGGAAGCCAAAGCCAGCAGGACUGAUGAUUCUAAAACUGUCGUAGGUUUUAUCAAGUCAAACAUUUUUAGCAAGUUUGGAGUUCUUAGAGCUUUAAUCAGUGACAGGGGCACACAUUUUUGUGAUAGAACUGUUGAGGCAUUGUUGAGGAGAUAUGGUGUUUUCCAUAGAGUAUCUACAACUUAUUAUCCUCAAACAAGUGGGCAAGCAGAGGUGUCUAACGGAGAGAUCAAGUCUAUUUUGGAAAAAACAGUGAAGCCAAAUAGAAAAGAUUGGAGCCGUAGACUUGAUGAUGCUUUGUGGGCUUACAGGACUGCUUAUAAGAGACUCAUAGGAAUUAGAGGAAAUUCGACUUGAGGCUUAUGAGAACUCUAAGAUCUAUAAAGAAAAGACCAAGGCAUUCCAUGACAAACUAAUUCCAAGGAAGCAGUUUGUGGUUGGGCAAAAAGUUUUAUUGUAUAAUUUCAUAUUGAAGCUGGUGCUUGGUAAGUUGCGUUCUCGUUGGAUUGGACCCUUUGUUGUUACUAAUGUGUUUCCUUAUGGUGCAGUUGAAAUUCAAAGUUUAGGAACUAACAAAGUGUUCAAGGUCAAUGAUUAUAGACUCAAGCCAUUUUAUAAGGAGUUUCAGGAGCAUUCAAUGGAGGAGCUCAAAUUGAGUAACCCAAUCUAUGUGGAUUAAGGAGCUUUGCCAUGUCGAGCUAACGACGAUAAACAAAGGCGCUUCUUGGGAGGCAACCCAUGGGUGGCUUGUUAGCCACAAUCAGAUUUGUUUUCUUUCCCUUAUUUUAUUUUAUUUUCUAGCAUUUUUUUUCUUUUCUUUUGCAUUUGGGCUUUACAUUGGGGACAAUGUAAGUUUUAAGUAUGGGGGAGGAGAAAUUUGUUGCUCCAAUUAAAAAAAAAAAAUCGUUCUCAUAAGCUUGAUUCAUGAUUCUAUAUUAACUCUCGGAGAGAAGUGCUUUGUCCUUGAAAUGACUUUUCUAUUUUAGAUUGAAUUUUUGAAAUUUUAGGCAAGGUAAUAGUAACUUUAAUGAUGGAUUUUCCCUCUUCUCCACACCAUAGAGCAACUUUAUGGAACUUUAAUUGUAUGAGCUUAAUUGAUUUCAAGCCUUUUGUUUUGUGUUGAAAAAUUAUUGAUAUAUUGGUAUUGUGUUGAUGGAAUUUAUUAUGAUGGUUAUUACCUUACUUGCCUCUUCUUUCAAACUUUUAAUCUUUUGUUAGAGAAUGUUGUGAUAGGGUGAAGUUAAGGAACUUCUAAGUGGAGUUGAUUGAGAGUUUAAGUCAUGCUUGAGGACAAGCAUGGAAUAAGUGUGGGAGAAUUUGAUAAGUGCAUAAUUUAUUAAU